rnacentral:rRNA from 1 species
GAGUUUGAUCUUGGCUCAGAUUGAACGCUGGCGGCAUGCCUUACACAUGCAAGUCGAACGGCAGCAUGAUCUAGCUUGCUAGAUUGAUGGCGAGUGGCGAACGGGUGAGUAAUACAUCGGAACGUGCCCUGUAGUGGGGGAUAACUAGUCGAAAGAUUAGCUAAUACCGCAUACGACCUGAGGGUGAAAGUGGGGGACCGCAAGGCCUCAUGCUAUAGGAGCGGCCGAUGUCUGAUUAGCUAGUUGGUGGGUAAAGGCCCACCAAAGGCGACGAUCAGUAGCUGGUCUGAGAGGACGAUCAGCCACACUGGGACUGAGACACGGCCCAGACUCCUACGGGAGGCAGCAGUGGGAAUUUUGGACAAUGGGCGAAAGCCUGAUCCAGCAAUGCCGCGUGUGUGAAGAAGGCCUU